rnacentral:rRNA from 1 species
UACGGAGGGUGCGAGCGUUGUCCGGAAUCACUGGGCGUAAAGGGCGCGUAGGCGGCCUGAUAAGUAGGGGGUGAAAUCUCGGAGCUUAACUCCGAAACUGCAUUCGAUACUGCCGUGCUUGAGGACUGGAGAGGAGACUGGAAUUUACGGUGUAGCGGUGAAAUGCGUAGAUAUCGUAAGGAAGACCAGUGGCGAAGGCGGGUCUCUGGACAGUUCCUGACGCUGAGGCACGAAGGUCAGGGGAGCAAACGGG